rnacentral:lncRNA from 1 species
CUAUUUGGAACGGAGGACUGGUCGGCAAGAGGGGACAACUUGCCGUCGGAGCUUGUGCGCCAACCACGAACCUUGAACCUGGUUUUGUCUCUGGGAAUUUUAAGAGAACUCUUCCAAAAACAUAGCAUCGACUUGACAAACUUUAUUGAAAGGUAGUAAAGCACUUAACAUUUGAGAUUGGAGAACGCAUAUUUCUGCACAUGUUUUUAAAUUUAUUUAUCAGUUUCUGAGUCCUGGUAUAUUCUGAGCUAUCGCGAGAAGACAUGGCUGUUUAAUCUUGAAUGAAGCAUGAAAGAGUUUGUUCUCGACAAGUUCUUGUGCUACUUUAUGAGGUAGAUUUCGCUGCUGGAAUGUAUUCUAUAAAAUGAACAGAUACUUCAGAAGGUGCUGAUGCUAGCCUCUGAUCAUUUCUCUAAAACAGAUCGCCUAAGCCUGCGAUAUCUCCUCAUCACAGAAAAAUGUACAACUGAACAGUUUGCAAUGAGAUUUUGAAUUAUCUGCUGGUUGUGUAGGGACGACUCACCUCUUCAAAUCCAUGACUUCAUUCUUUUGAAAUCUUCCUCACAAAAUUUCCUCCUCCAUCAAGUCCUUGAGAAGCAAUAAAGAAGCUCGGUGCUGGCUU